UCAUAGACGCAAACUUAUAUGCAUUACUUGGGAAAGGGACUGCAACAGAUGAUGAAAAGCCUAUUAAAAAGAAGAAUGAGAAGCCUGUUAAGGUUGAGGUGAAGUUGACAAAAGAAUCGCAUUUGGCCAAUUGAGAAGAUUUGCUUGGCGAGAAUUACAGCUAGUUACUGACAACUUUAAUGAGAAAAAUGUCCUUGGAAAUGGGGGUUUUGAAAAGCUUUAUAAAGGAGUGCUUUCAAAUAAUACUAAAGUGGCUGUGAAACGAUUAAAUGACUAUGAGAGUUCUGGUGGAGACGCAGCAUUGUAGCGUGAAGUUGAGAUGAUAAGUGUAGCAAUUCACAGGAAUCUAUUACGUUUGAUUGGGUUUUGCUCAACACCAACAUAACGCCUUUGGUGUAUCCCUUUAUGCAGAACCCCUUUUGAUUUAUUCUAGUGAAUUUUUGAAGUCUUUUGAUUUUAUAUAUAGCUGUGUAUAGAUGUCACUGGUAGCUCAUAUGUUUAAAUAGGUUUGUAUGAAAUUAUUAUUUUAAGUUGGAAUAUACUUUGUUUGCAAUGUUGACAUUUAAAAGUUAUUCUUUUGUUUGGAUAGUUGUAAGUGAAA